rfam:Leclercia adecarboxylata strain I1 Leclercia_S84_R1__paired__contig_17, whole genome shotgun sequence.
CGCUAUACUAGCCGCGUAAAUAACCGGCUCAACGCUACGAGCGGGUACUCAAUGUCU